UAAGCGGAGGAAAAGAAACUAACAAGGAUUCCCCUAGUAACGGCGAGUGAACAGGGAAGAGCUCAAAUUUGUAAUCUGGCGUCCCUUGGGCGUCCGAGUUGUAAUCUAUAGAAGCGUUUUCCGUGCUGGACCGUGUCCAAGUCCCUUGGAACAGGGUAUCAAAGAGGGUGACAAUCCCGUGCUUGACAUGACGACCAGUGCUCUGUGAUACGCUCUCUACGAGUCGAGUUGUUUGGGAAUGCAGCUCAAAACGGGUGGUGAGUUCCAUCUAAAGCUAAAUAUUGGCGAGAGACCGAUAGCGAACAAGUACCGUGAGGGAAAGAUGAAAAGCACUUUGGAAAGAGAGUUAAACAGUACGUGAAAUUGUUGAAAGGGAAACGAUUGAAGUCAGUCGUGUCCGAGGGGUUCAGCCGGUCCUGCCGGUGUAUUCCUCUCGGACGGGUCAACAUCAGUUUGGGUCGGCGGAAAAGGGCGGUAGGAAUGUGGCAGCUCCGGUUGUGUUAUAGCCUUCCGUCGCAUACGCUGGUCCAGACUGAGGAAUGCAGCUCGCCCUUGUGGCCGGGGUUUACCCACGUUCGAGCUUAGGAAUGUUGACAUAAUGGCUUUAAACGACCCGUCUUGAAACACG
rnacentral:rRNA from 1 species